CUGGAUUCAUUGAGUCAGUUCAUUUCAGAAAUUUUCGAUUAUUCUUGUCUUAAUAGUCCCAGUCUUCUAAAUUAGGUUAGCUGCUUAGGAUUUCAAUUUUCAAAGAUGUUUUUAGAGGUAUUGCAUACCUUCAUGCUGGAUGCCUUAUUCAUCAAGAUAUUAAAUCUAGUAAUAUUUUACUAAACAAGGAUUUCAGGGCUAUUGUUGGAGAUUUUGGUUUUUCCUUAGAGCUACCGCAACAAGAAUUAGGACGUUCACAGAUUACUGCUCCAUUAAUGGCAAGGACGGAAAGAUAUUUUCCCCCAGAGAUAAUUUCUGGAAAAAUAUCAACAUUGUCUGACGUCUAUAGCUGUGGUGUGGUUAGUAGUGUCCAUUAUUGUAUUAUUGUCAUUAUAAUGAACAAAAUAAAAGCUGACACUGUAGGUGUACACAGGCUUGAAACCAUACUGUAAUAAAAGAGAAGAUCAUGAACUAUUAUGCCACACAGAAGAUGAAAGAUGUAACAUAGCUAAAUUUAAAGAAAUUGCUAAAACAAGAGUACCUGAAUCGAUAAGUGAUCAGGAUUGUGAGAGACUACGAUUCAUCAUUAAUAGCUGUCUCUCAAGGUACACAAAGCGUCCUGCUAAUAAAGUAUUAAAAAUGUUGGAAUCCAGUCCAUUUACAAUUAGUAAUGUUAACUAAGUACCACUUAACAAACUCUUCAACUGACACAUUUAAUCAUCAAACAUUGUUGAUCAAAUACUUGUUAAUAGAUACACAGUUUUCAGCAGUUAUGUCACUUUUAUUAAUCCCAAUAUCUCUUAGUAAUUGGUUAGCUCAUAUCUCAAA